GGCUGGUCUGAGUGCAGUGGUGUUUACAACUAAUUGAUCACAACCAGUUACAGAUUUCUUUGUUCCUUCUCCACUCCCACUGCCUCACUUGACUAGCCUUUA
ensembl:Y_RNA Y_RNA Y RNA